rnacentral:rRNA from 1 species
GUUGUAUAGUCAAGUAAUUAAGUGCAUGUGGUGGAUGCCUUGGCAGUCAGAGGCGAUGAAAGACGUGAUAGCCUGCGAAAAGCUCCGGGGAGGCGGCAAAUAUCCUUUGAUCCGGAGAUGUCUGAAUGGGGGAACCCACCUACUUUAAGGUAGGUAUUGCAACAUGAAUACAUAGUGUUGCAAGGCGAACGAGGGGAAGUGAAACAUCUCAGUACCCUUAGGAAAAGAAAUCAAUUGAGAUUCCCUCAGUAGCGGCGAGCGAACGGGGAUCAGCCCAUUAAGUUAUGUGUGUUUUAGUGGAACGCUCUGGGAAGUGCGAACGUAGAGGGUGAUAUUCCCGUACACGAAAGGGCACACAUAAUGAUGACGAGUAGGGCGAGGCACGUGAAACCUUGUCUGAAUAUGGGGGGACCAUCCUCCAAGGCUAAAUACUCCUGACUGACCGAUAGUGAACCAGUACCGUGAGGGAAAGGCGAAAAGAACCCCUGUGAGGGGAGUGAAAUAGAUCCUGAAACCGCAUGCAUACAAGCAGUGGGAGCACCUUCGUGGUGUGACUGCGUACCUUUUGUAUAAUGGGUCAGCGACUUAUAUUCAGUAGCAAGGUUAACCGUAUAGGGGAGCCGUAGAGAAAUCGAGUCUUAAUAGGGCGUUUAGUUGCUGGGUAUAGACCCGAAACCAGGCGAUCUAUCCAUGAGCAGGUUGAAGGUUGGGUAACACUAACUGGAGGACCGAACCCACUGUCGUUGAAAAGCCAGGGGAUGACUUGUGGAUAGGGGUGAAAGGCUAAUCAAGCCUGGUGAUAGCUGGUUCUCCCCGAAAGCUAUUUAGGUAGCGCCUCGGACGAAUACCAUAGGGGGUAGAGCACUGUUUCGGCUAGGGGGUCAUCCCGACUUACCAAACCGAUGCAAACUCCGAAUACCUAUGAGUACUAUCCGGGAGACAGACUGCGGGUGCUAACGUCCGUAGUCAAGAGGAAAACAAUCCAGACCGCCAGCUAAGGCCCCAAAAUCAUAGUUAAGUGGGAAACGAUGUGGGAAGGCAUAGACAGCUAGGAGGUUGGCUUAGAAGCAGCCACCCUUUAAAGAAAGCGUAAUAGCUCACUAGUCGAGUCGGCCUGCGCGGAAGAUGUAACGGGGCUAAAACUAUGUGCCGAAGCUGCGGAUNNNNNNUGCUGGAGGUAUCAGAAGUGCGAAUGCUGACGUGAGUAACGACAAAACGGGUGAAAAACCCGUUCGCCGAAAGACCAAGGGUUCCAGUCCAACGUUAAUCGGGGCUGGGUGAGUCGACCCCUAAGGCGAGGCCGAAAGGCGUAGUCGAUGGGAAAAUGGUUAAUAUUCCAUUACUUCUGUGUAAUGCGAUGAGAGGACGGAGAAGGCUAAAUCAGCCUGGCGUUGGUUGUCCAGGUGAAAGGAUGUAGGCAUGUAUCUUAGGCAAAUCCGGGGUACUCUAUGCUGAGAUCUGAUAGCAAGCUGUACUUGUACAGCGAAGUGGUUGAUGCCAUGCUUCCAGGAAAAGUCUCUAAGCUUCAGUUACACAGGAAUCGUACCCGAAACCGACACAGGUGGUCAGGUCGAGUAGACCAAGGCGCUUGAGAGAACUCUGCUGAAGGAACUAGGCAAAAUGGUACCGUAACUUCGGGAGAAGGUACGCUGUUGUUGGUGAUGGAACUCGCUUCCUGAGCUGACGACAGCCGCAGAAACCAGGCCGCUGCAACUGUUUAUUAAAAACAUAGCACUCUGCAAACACGAAAGUGGACGUAUAGGGUGUGAUGCCUGCCCGGUGCUGGAAGGUUAAUUGAUGGGGUUAGCGUAAGCGAAGCUCUUGAUCGAAGCCCCAGUAAACGGCGGCCGUAACUAUAACGGUCCUAAGGUAGCGAAAUUCCUUGUCGGGUAAGUUCCGACCUGCACGAAUGGCAUAAUGAUGGCGGCGCUGUCUCCAGCAGAGGCUCAGUGAAAUCGAAAUCGCUGUGAAGAUGCAGUGUACCCGCGGCUAGACGGAAAGACCCCGUGAACCUUUACUGCAGCUUGACACUGAACUUUGACCUUACUUGUGUAGGAUAGGUGGGAGGCUUUGAAGCUGGAACGCUAGUUCCAGUGGAGCCGUCCUUGAAAUACCACCCUGGUAAUGUUGAGGUUCUAACUCUGUCCCGUGAUCCGGGACGAGGACCGUGUCUGGUGGGUAGUUUGACUGGGGCGGUCUCCUCCUAAAGAGUAACGGAGGAGUACGAAGGUGCGCUCAGCGUGGUCGGAAAUCACGCGUAGAGUAUAAAGGCAAAAGCGCGCUUAACUGCGAGACCCACAAGUCGAGCAGGUACGAAAGUAGGUCUUAGUGAUCCGGUGGUUCUGUAUGGAAGGGCCAUCGCUCAACGGAUAAAAGGUACUCUGGGGAUAACAGGCUGAUACCGCCCAAGAGUUCAUAUCGACGGCGGUGUUUGGCACCUCGAUGUCGGCUCAUCUCAUCCUGGGGCUGAAGCAGGUCCCAAGGGUAUGGCUGUUCGCCAUUUAAAGAGGUACGCGAGCUGGGUUUAGAACGUCGUGAGACAGUUCGGUCCCUAUCUACCGUGGGCGCUGGAAAUUUGAGAGGAUCUGCUCCUAGUACGAGAGGACCAGAGUGGACGAACCUCUGGUGUACCGGUUGUGACGCCAGUCGCAUCGCCGGGUAGCUAUGUUCGGAAGGGAUAACCGCUGAAAGCAUCUAAGCGGGAAGCCUACCUCAAGAUAAGAUUUCCCUAGGACUUUAUGUCCUCUAAAGAGCCGUUCGAGACUAGGACGUUGAUAGGUUGGAUGUGGAAGCAUAGUGAUAUGUGAAGCUGACCAAUACUAAUUGCUCGUGAGGCUUGACUAUACAACACCCAAGCAGUUG